rnacentral:lncRNA from 1 species
AUUUUCGCUUUGUGAUGCAAAUAUGCUUUUCACCUGAGAUGAUUAUAAUACAGCAGUGGAAACGUUGCUUUUUUCCGCAUGCAGGAAAAAAAAUCCAUGAGAUGGCCCAGUGCAACAUGACAAAGAAUAUAUUUUGGAUCCAUACAUCAAGAGCUGAGACCUUCUGCUUAAGUUUCAGAAGAUUACUUCAACAAAGGAAGAAUAGCCCAGUUCUUGAGAUAUAUGAAUCCCUAUUUUGAGAGACAAAGGAGAAACACUUCAUGCUUCAAAAGGAUGUGCAAGGUUAUGAGAGAUGAUAAUAGAGUGUAUUUGGCUUGGAUCCUUUUGUUUCUCUCUGCAAGAUGAGAUAUUUAUAACGUAAUGGGAAAGCCAAGUUGUUUAACAGCCUAAACCAUCUUAUUGAUAAGGAGAGAAUAUGAACUUUGAAAGAAAGCAACAUGCCUGUUUGGAACCUCAAGUGUAGACAAUGAGAUACUAGAAUCAAGUAAAUUGAUUGUUACAUGGGGUURAAAUUCAUUCCUGACUUUUUCGGAUAACAGGGGUUCUGGGCAGUGUUUCUAAAACACAAGCUUACAGUGAUAAUGGAAGUAGAAGCACCAGCAACUGUAGCCGUGAGAAUGGGCAGAAAGGGUAAAGUAUGGGGAUGCUCUUCUGUGGAAGAGAGGGCAGAAAGGUGGCAUUUUCCACGAUACCUGAAGACCGAUAGCCGAGUAAAGCUUGCUUGCAGGGAGGUAUAAGAAUAUCUCUGCUUUCUGCACUCUGACCUUCCAUUGUCCCUCGCUGAGCAUUUGAAAGGAUUGUGCAGUUCUCUUGAUCUAUUUAAGAAAAAGAAACUGUGUCAAAUCUUUCCAUUCCCCAGCCGGCUGUCUUUCAGACCACAUCUAUACUAUGGCAAGAUAGUAUGAUAUAAAAUGAACGGUCUAAAAUUAAUACGGUGUUAAACGCUAACGUGUAUUCUGUUGGGACAGGCACAAUUGUAUUUGCAGCAACUUGACCACAAGCAACGCACAAGCAUUCUAACUUAACACCUCCUGUACACAGUAGUCAUUAAGUCAUUAACUUUUAACCAUGUCACACAAAAUGAUUAGUACUUUUUCUGACUUGUCUUCUUCAAUUUAAGUAAGGCCUUGAGGUGUGUAUUUGCCACUACUUCCAUAUGGUGCAACACAGAAGUUUAGUGACGACGACUACGUUUUUUGUGUGUGUGAAUGGCAGUUCAGGUUUCUGAAAGAGGAGGCUACUUUUUUCUGAAAAGCGUUAGUGUUUGGGACCCAUGAUGCCCACCGACAAGGGCUCUUCUUGUGGGAGCUCUGAAAUUUGCAGCAAAUUUGAAAUUUUAGUUUGAUUGAUGAAGUUAAUUUUAAAAACUCAACCUUAAAGCUGAACUGUCUUACCAACCAUCUGAAUAAUCUAAUGAAGUAGGUGCUAGAUUCCAAUUUAAUGGUGGCAGUUUUGAGAUGUGGACUCCUUACGAUAAGAAAGAAAUAAAAACAGCUCCAGGAAGAAAAAAACUUGGAUG